rnacentral:lncRNA from 1 species
UAAUUUGUCCUCCAUUUUUUCUGGUGAAUUCAUUUAUUUUGGCUUCAUAUGUUACCGAAAUAAAUUGAAAAGGUUUUUCGCACAGUAUUAUGGUCUUUACUCUGUGUUCGUGUGUAUAUUUAUUAUUAUUUUUAAACCUAUGUGAAUGAAUCAAAUGCCGUAAAUUAGGCAUGAAAAUGGAUUUUGAACUGCUCCUGAUGCUAAAUUUGUUGCUUUUGUUUUAAAGUAACAUGGUUCAAUUCUAAAUUCUUUCUUGUGGGAUGGGGCACCUUUCUUUUCGUUACUUGUUAAGAAAGGCACUCUGAUAAGUGCUGACAGAGGCUUUCUUUCUUUUUUAAUUUAUCUUAUGAAGUUUUUGGUUUUUGGUUAUAAUAUUUGUCAUCUGCUAAUUUAGCAAGUCGUGACUUGGAUGUAUAUGGUUAUCGAUGCAAAAUUAGCUGUGCUUGAGAUCUUAAAUCAUUAGCUGUAAUACAUCAAGCUCUAAAUGCCUAAAACAUCAUUCUUUCAUCAUGUAGUUCAGUAAUUGUGCUUGAAAUGUAGUAUACUUGAGAUUAAGUUGUUUUGUUAUGAAAUAAUAGGCAAAUCUAACUUGAGAAUGAAUUGCCAUAUGUAAUAGAAGGACUAUUGAAUUUUCAAUAUUUCCAUUCUCAUCAAUUAAAUUGCUUAGAUAAUUAAAUCGUUGAAUACUGAAUAGACAAUUUUCUGCAACGAGCACUGUGAAGAAUCGACUUUGCAAUCGGACUGGGAUUGAUGGAUGAGUGAUAACUUAGCCCCUAUUUGGUGGCCCUUAAUUUACAUUACCUUAAUUUAUUUCUCAUACUCAUUUUCUAUGAUGCACCGACAUGUCCGACACGAUACGUGUUGGACACAUCGACUCGUGAUUUUUUUAAAAAGUACCGACACGACACGUCGUCGAUACGUUUAUUAAAUUCUUUAAAAUUCUUC